CCCGCUGAACUUAAGCAUAUCAAUAAGCGGAGGAAAAGAAACUAACAAGGAUUCCCCUAGUAACGGCGAGUGAAGCGGGAAGAGCUCAAAUUUAAAAUCUGGCAGUCUUUGGUUGCCCGAAUUGUAAUCUAGAGAAGCGUUUUCCGUGCUGGACUGUGUACAAGUUUCCUGGAUACGGAACAUCAUAGAGGGUGAGAAUCCCGUCCUUGACACAGACCCCCAGUACUUUUGUGAUGCGCUCUCGACGAGUCGAGUUGUUUGGGAUUGCAGCUCAAAAUGGGAGGUAAAUUCCUUCUAAAGCUAAAUAUUAGCGAGAGACCGAUAGCGAACAAGUACCGUGAGGGAAAGAUGAAAAGCACUUUGGAAAGAGAGUUAAACAGUACGUGAAAUUGUUAAAAGGGAAACGCUUGAAGUCAGUCACGUUUGCUUGGACUCAGCCUUACUUCGGUUUGGUGCAUUUCCUUGCAGACGGGCCAGCGUCCAUGUUGUUUGCCGGAGAAGGGGUGAGAGAAUGUGGCUCCUUUGGGAGUGUUAUAGCUCUUGCUCGUAUGCGGGGAAUGAUAUGGAGUGGUACAGCACACUUUGGUGGUGCUUGUGCUGGCAUAAUGGCUUUAAACGACCCGUCUUGAAACACGG
rnacentral:rRNA from 1 species